UCACAACUGUGAUGGGAUCUCUUUGCUGUAGAAGUCAAGAGAAUUGUACGACAAACCUGUUUUCUCCCCUUUUCCUUGGGUGACCCUACUGGGAGAUGAGACACCAAAUGGCCUAGUCUGUGCCUAGGCUACAGGACCAGGACCCUAAUCAGCACCAUAAACCUGUACUAAAAUGAGCUUAAAGUAAUAGUUACAUUCUGCACAUAAAGCCAUAUGAAGUAGAGCAUUAGUAGAAGUAUGGCAUUGAUUUAAUCAUACACAGAGACACGCACUCAUUCUGAAAUCAACCACCACUUUAAAGUGUCAUCCCUUCUCUGUGAUCUGUCCCUGCACUUCCAUUUUGGCUGACUGAUGCUGCAGACUGAAAUACAGGUUUCCCCACAGUGGGGCCUCUCUAGCUUGGCAUUCUCAGUGUAUUUGGACUGUGUGUGUACUUAGUUGGAGAAAGGGUCAGGAUUUCAUACUGAGGAAGGGUAGAAACAUCUUUUAGCCUCACUCCAAGAGACAUUAGCUUUCAGAAGCUUUUGCAAGGACCAUGUUGUUUCCUAUUGGCUAUUUCAGAGUCAGAAAGAAACUCCUUGAAGUCCUGAAGGACAAAACUCUGAUUUGCAACAGCAUUUUCCUCCUUCUUUGUUCAUUUCCUUCAGAAGCUAAGCCACAACAUUAUCCUUACAUGUGAAGAUGGUGGAAGAUAACAGAAUGCCAGCUGUGUUGGAGCAAGAGUUCGGGUAUUAAUUUUCAGAUGCAUAGAAUGUGUCUGUAAUAGAAGAGAAGUGGUCUGUUGUGCCCUAAGUAGGCAAUGUAUUCUGCAGUCAACAAGAGAGGGGAGGGAAAACAUAUUUUUUGUUUGUUUUUAUCUUUUAUCAUCAUAACUAAUCAGGGAGUUAAAAAAGAACAUUUCAGAUGAAAUGUGAAUCAGUUCAAAAUAGUCUAUAAUCUGAAUUCAUUUUUCCCAUGCAGAUUUUCAGAAGUCAGGAAUUUGUGAACUGCCAAAAGGAAUAUACAGUCAGCUAAGGAUGAUGUAAUGUAAUUUAUGCAGAACAGUUUAUCACAACAGGUUACUUAAUCAAUGAUCCAUCUUCUUUAGCAAGAAGAUUUUAAACUCAUUGGACUUCAAAAUUAUUUUAA
rnacentral:lncRNA from 1 species